rnacentral:rRNA from 1 species
UACGUAGGGUGCAAGCGUUGUCCGGAAUUAUUGGGCGUAAAGAGCUCGUAGGCGUUUGUCGCGUCGAAUGUGAAAACCCGGGGCUCAACCCCGGGCCUGCAUUCGAUACGGGCAGACUAGAGUUCGGUAGGGGAGUCUGGAAUUCCUGGUGUAGCGGUGAAAUGCGCAGAUAUCAGGAGGAACACCGGUGGCGAAGGCGGGACUCUGGGCCGAUACUGACGCUGAGGAGCGAAAGCGUGGGGAGCAAACAGG